GGGGAGGGUCGCGAUUGACCCCGAUUGAUCCCAAUCGAUCCCGGCCCCAGGGUCUCCCCCCGCCGUGAUGUUUUUCACGUGCAGCCCCAACGAGGCCAUGGUGGUGUCGGGUGAGUUCGGGGGGUCCGGGGGCUCCUGGUGACCCCUCCAAAUCUCCCCCAAGACUCUCGGGAACCACCCAGAUCCCCCCAAGACUCCUGGGGACCCUCCGAAAGCCCCCCUCCUGGGGGCCGCCCCUCCGCCUUUCCCCCUCUGUCACGGGUGACAGCGGGUCUGUAAGCACCUUGGCACGUACUGACGAAGCAAUAGAUGUUGACCAGAUCAAAGUAUACCCCUGAGAUGGACUGAAAAGAGAGGACUGAAAAUGGAGGCCCUGAUCCUGACAACAUACUGAUGCAUCCUGAAGAAGUUGUCCUGUGGGAACAGAGAACACUGUCUCAUGAAAACAGGAGCACUGUCUCAUGAGAACAAGGAGCUGUUUUGAACAAGAGUAGUUGGGAAACACAUCAACAUGAGAGAAAAAUAAGAGCAGGUGCUCAGGACUGUUGUGGGAAAGAACUGGGCUGUUUUGAGAAAGAGCAAAGUUGUUGUGAGAGAGUAGAGUUUAGAAAAUGCACCUAUUAGCUGUAAGAAUUCUGGUGUGAAAGUUUGAACUGUCCUAUCCGUGUGCAUUACGUGUGUUCAAAAACUGUACUUAAGGGGCUGCGCAGCAGCCCCGCUGUCCCUGCUUUUUUCUUGGAAUAAACUUUACUGGAACCUUU